UCCCUUUUGCACCUUAAACAGAACCACUUUAUGUCAUGGUGCACCACUAGUUCUAUUCUAACAAGAUGAGAAUCAUACAGGAUCUUGUUGAAGUAUGUCAGCCGAAACAUCCUGCAGUUCACAGUUUUUCUUGAAAGAAAAAAGGGAUAAAAGAGAAGGAUAAAAAAUUCCUUCAGGACCAUUGCAUACUAUAAUAUCUGAAGGUAUUAGUUUGUGCCACUAUCAAAUCAAACCACUUGUUUUCCCUUUUUCUCUUUAUUUGAGUAUACAAGGAAGGCAACAAAUGAAGUGUUGUACAAGAAACACCCAAAAUGCAACAACAAAAUUAAGUUGCAUGUGAUUUUGCAGUUCACUAUUGUUGCAUAAAUGAUCCUCACCCAGUCCAAUUUGUUCGGUCAUUCCGCAAUUGGGAAGUAGAAGCAGCGUUUACUAAAUGGAGCAAAAAGAAUAUCAUUCUUGUUUCAUAGGUUGAUUAACAAAGGGGCAAAAGGAAGACAAGGAGACAUUGGAUGUCUUUUUUACUAGUAGAUUCGACCAUAGAUAGAUGAUUUGCCAGCUUCAAUUUGCUCAGCAGUGUCUCCCCACUUUUAAAAACCAAUUGCAUGGUUACUUGUUACGAACCCACGGUACAGGGCCAUGUUUACUAAUAAAACAUGAAUUCUAAGAUAUUUCGUGGAAACAUAUAUCGAUUUUGAAUACAUUUUGAAUACAUGAUAAGGAGGAUGGACACUUCAUGGAAGAGCAGUAUCCAUCCUGAAUACAUGUUGGAAUCCAACACCUCAAAUAUACUCAGAGAUAUGUUAAUUGUUAUACAGUUCCUCAAUGUAUCCUAAUUUGAAAAUAAAAAAGUGUAUUUGUGGAACUUCAACAACAGUUUGCAGACACUUUGGGAUACUUCUCGGAUCAUCCCAGAAACAAACUAUGUGGUGAAUGCCCUUUAGUAACAACAAUGUUUGGUCUUCUUGUGAACAUGACCUGCCCACCCCAAACAUAUCACAUAUGUGAACAACAUAAAGCAAAAGCAUGCAAUGGACAAGUUCAUAGGAAAAAAAAAGUAGAACUAGAUAUAUAAGAAAACGAAUGUGGUACAAAAGCACGUGAUAGGAGUUUGCAAUAUGCAAAUGAUAUUUGUCUCUAUCUUCCCCAAUUAUUAAUUCAAACAAUAACAUAUUAACAUGUAUAAUACAUCUAGGUUUACAUAAUUUCCUUACAUAACAUCCAUAAAAUACAUAUUGAUAUGUGAGAUGCUGCCAUGUGCCAGUGCACCACUAUUAUCAGAGGAAAGGUUCCUUUUACCUAUACAAUUUUUUUUUUUGAUAACUAGGUAUCCGGCCCACACAAACCUACUAAUCUAGGAAACCAAUCUCAUUGUACAUUAGCGGGGGUGCCCGACUAAAAACGGUAAAAAGCCCCGUAUGGGCUGGCCGACCUCAGGAAUUGAUGACAAGGAGGCUUCGAACCUGAGACCUUGGAAGAGAGCAAACCUCUUUUAAGUCACCAGCUAGACCACCAGGCCAACCCCUAGGGUUUUUUACCUAUACAAUCUUAAUGUAAAAUCAGAAAACACUUCCCUAAAGGCCUGCUUUCAUGAUCAGAAAACUUUGUCAAAAUUUUGGCAUAUCUUCAGAUUCUUGCCAUACUCCUAUAGUUAUUGAAGUUUCCCUCAACAGUGAUGUUCAAAAGUUCCUUUUUGCCAAACUACAAUUCUUCCAACUUCUCAGGAAAAUAUUUCCAACCCAUCAAGAAAUUCACUGAACGCAAUCUAUACAAAAAAACUGUUCAAUCUCAAUUUAAGGCACUAAGAAAAAAAUAAAGAUCAUCAAUUUCGUAAGAAGAAACUAUCCAGCUUCAACAAUACAAUCAAUAACAUAGUUAACAGACGAAAACCCAAGUACAAUAAUUGAUGAAUAACACAAAAAUCGGAAACAGGUGCUGCAUAUAAACACAAAGAACUAAUUGAGAAAGAGCUUUAAAAGUCGAAACAGCUCACUUACGGGGAGGUGAAAUUGAAAACCAAGAAUCUGGAACCCAAAGAAAUCAACAAUUGCGAGUGAAUUGGAGAGAACGAUUAAACUUUGAAGGAGAAACGAUGAAGGCAAGUACAAUACCAAACAACUAAAACUGAGAGAGAGAGAGAGUAUUGAAUAGGAGAAUCGGAAACGUAGAGACGGUGUUCACCUGGUUUCUACCAACCCGAUUGCUCG
rnacentral:lncRNA from 1 species